CUCAGAAAGCCAGUCAAUACAUGGCUCUUGCCCUAAAGAGUACACAAUCUACAUUUAACCUGCACAGCAAGCAAAAGAGAUAGAGAUGGGACAAAGAGGAAGGACAUCCCUCAGGAAGGCAGCAUUGGAAAGAAGUAGAGACUGUGGAUAAGGAAGAAACAUAUCCUCUGGUGUUAUGUAUAUUUCUAUAUGCCCUGGUGUCCAAGGGGUUCCAACAGUCAAAUGUGGAGAACCUGGCACAUCUGUGGCAGCUGGACAUUCUUUAGCUGAAUGAGGCGGUACCGACAAUGGAUCCAGACCAGCACAGGUUAUACAACUAAGUGACAGAGGGCAAAAUUCAGACUCAGGCCAUGCAGCCGUAAGAAGGAAGUGGAGAGGUGUUGACCUUCACUGCCACUUAUACCCUAGGUCAGGAGCACAAGGAGAUCUACUGCGCAUGUGUGGGCCAACAGACACUGCAUUGAAGAAUUUCCAGACUUGGGCUCAGGGUGUGCAUGCAUGCCCAUGUGUGGAAUACAAAUAGGGACAAGCACUUGAGAAGAAACAGCCCCUAUUCCUUCCUAGAUCCAAUUCUUUUUCUAUGUACCCUUAUUCUCAAAGUUUGUAACUAUUUUAUUUUUCACUAUUGGCUUAUGUUUUCAGUUGCCUUGCUUUAAUCCACUAACACAAAUAAAUCAAGCAAUGACAUCAGUCCAAAACGUUAAUAGCAAAAAAAUCUUGAACUGCCUUUUCAAACUAUCCCAAACAGUUACUGCUUGAAUAUUAUGGGGUAGAGAGUUUCAGCAAACUCAGGCUAGAAAAACUGACAAAACGAUUAGUAAAGUAGGGUUAAGUUUAAUUAAAUGUGCAUAGAUGUGAGCCAAAUUCCUGAAUAUAUGUGUAGAGACAUCAUUAAAAUUCAAAGGUUAAUAAUAAUAUGAUGGUAUUUGGCUCUUUCGUAGCACUUUUCAUUUGAGUCUCUGAAAGCACCUUUUGAAUAUGAAUUAAACCUCGAUGCUCUGUGAAGUAGGUGAAUAAUUAUAUCUCUUAUGUUAAACCUGGGUAAACUGAAGCUAUGAGAAGUAAAGUGACUUGCCCCAGUUCAAGUACUGAGUUAUUGGUAGCAUAGAUAGAGCCUAAAAGAUGAAUUCAUAAAAUUCAAACCCAGGCUGAUUUUGAAUAUAUUCACCUUGUGAAUGAACUUCUCUCACAGAUUUGUUCUUAGAACCUAAUUCAGAAGUUGCACACAAUUUACUCUUCAGGUCUGAAUUUGACCCUUGCAACUUGGAGAAAAAUAUUUGCAAAGACUGUAAGAUAAAGCACUGGGAAGAUUGAUAAUGUUUUGCUAUGAGAGAGACAAGGUGGGUGAGGCAAUAUCUUUUAUUGGAACAACUUCAGUUCAUGAAAGAGACAAGCUUUGGAGCUUGCACAGAGCUUCUUCUUGACCCAAAGAAUAGCUCUGUGUAAACUCAAAAGCUCAAAACAGAAGUUGGUCCAAUAAAAGAUAUUACCUCACCCACCUUGUUUCUCUAAUAUCCUGGGGCUGACACAGGUACACUGUAUACAAUGUUUUGCUAUGUCAAUGGUUCGACGCAGUUGAAACCACUAGUCUGAAAUGAGUAUAUUGACACUAACUAUUUAAAUAGAACAAUCAACCCAUUAAACUGUAACAUAAUGAAAUGGGCUAUGUCAGGCACUUCCACUGAGAUCUCAAUAGAAGAACUGUAGCAUAACAAAGUGUCUAUUAGAAUCAGAGUGCAUUAUGAGGGACUGACUCACAUGCUUGGGAGAGAGUGAUAUUGCUUUGUUCUUUUAAGUGAAGAUUAAAUAACCACAAAAAUCAA